rnacentral:siRNA from 1 species
AUCAUCACACCAGUGAGUGUC